AGUGAACGCUGGCGGUAGGCCUAACACAUGCAAGUCGAACGGCAGCACAGUAAUAGCUUGCUCUUACGGGUGGCGAGUGGCGGACGGGUGAGGAAUACAUCGGAAUCUACUUUUUCGUGGGGGAUAACGUAGGGAAACUUACGCCAAUACCGCAUACGACCUACGGGUGAAAGCAGGGGAUCUUCGGACCUUGCGCGAUUGAAUGAGCCGAUGUCGGAUUAGCUAGUUGGCGGGGUAAAGGCCCACCAAGGCGACGAUCCGUAGCUGGUCUGAGAGGAUGAUCAGCCACACUGGAACUGAGACACGGUCCAGACUCCUACGGGAGGCAGCAGUGGGGAAUAUUGGACAAUGGGCGCAAGCCUGAUCCAGCCAUACCGCGUGGGUGAAGAAGGCCUUCGGGUUGUAAAGCCCUUUUGUUGGGAAAGAAAAGCAGCAGGUUAAUACCCCGCUGUUCUGACGGUACCCAAAGAAUAAGCACCGGCUAACUUCGUG
rnacentral:rRNA from 1 species